AUCAAAAUAAAGUAAAAAAGCCCACCUCACCUCACUCAUCGACCCAAAAAAAAGGAAGAUAGAGAGGGGGAAAGACGGAGGCGAGGGAGAGAGGAAGAAGGUGAGGGAGAAGAAGGCCACAGAGAUUGAAGAAAGUAAGCGUGAGAGAGGUAUUAUCUUCCUCACCUAAUAACUCGAAGUAUAUAAUAGUUUGUACAUGUGUUUAAUUGAGUUUGUACACAUGUAUAAUCGAUUAUUUGUAGUUAAUUGGGUCUAAUUUUUUAAUUAAUUAAGGUUUAUGUUCUUAAUUAGGUCGUAGAUUUGUUUAAUUAAGAGUUGGUAAUUUAGGGAUUUUGUUUAAUUGUUUGUUAAUUUAGGGGUUCUGUUUGUUUUUAAAUGCACGCCCUAUUUUACAUUUUUGUGCCAUGUUUUGUUUGUGAAUUUUUGUAAAGUUUGCUUAUUUAUUUGCUGCAAUUUGCUCUGUGUGGCUGUACAAAUCACUAUAAGUGUUUGAAAGUAAAGUUGCAAAGAGGAUGCACUGCUUGAUCUGGAGAAGAAACAAAGAGGCGGCAAUGGGAAUGAGGGUGUCAAUAAAUAAAAAAUCAGCUUCAGGGACAUAUAUAAUAAGCCUCAAGGCACCAGGCUGUUGCAUAAAUAACUCUUAGCGAGCAUUAUCAUUUUCCUCUGUGUAUAUUGAACAUUUAGGCUAGUUUCACUUGGAUUUCGUGAAUGAUAUUGACUUCUCAAAUUGUGUCUCUAUUUAACCAGGUAUUAGUUUUGGGAGUUUUGGAUCUUUCUAGGCUGCUCUUUUUUUAAACAUACACACUUCUUGUCUUAUUUUGAGCAGAGAUCUAGGUAAGUAAGUUUUUGCUUGUCAAACUUUUCAUACAUUAAACAUAUUAAUUGUUUUGCAAUUAAUAUGAACAUCUUACAGUGGAUGCGAGUCUAGAUAUGGAUAUUUGGAGGUGCUGUAAUGAGGGAGUCAGCAGGAUCAAGGUGGAAACCGGGAAUGCAGGACCUGGGGAUUAGGGGCGAGGGAACCGUUCUUCUCGUUACAUAACUCAUGUCAGAAUUUUGUCUCCAAUAAGGAAAAUGGAACCAGUCAUGUUUCAGUGGAUAAGGUUUCCAUCCCAACACAGUCUAACUCCCAAGAUGUUAAGAACAAGGAAGUUACUCAUGCGAGUGGAUGCUGGGUUUGCUUGCAAAAGUACUAUCUUUGAGGAAAGCCAACUCAACUUUUAAUAAGAGCCCACUGGUUGUGUUUAUGCAUAAUGGAGCCUCUUUGUUGGUUAACUCAAUAGCCAGGGAGAAGUCACCAUGAAAAACAAGCUGGCAUGAGGGAGUUGUAAAAGAGAAAAGCCAAAAUGAUGAGACUACAUUAACAAUUGAUAUUCAAGCGCUUGGGAAUACGUCCAUUGCAAGAGCAGCUUGUGAAAUUGUGGAUGUUUGAUUCUAUAUAAACACUUGCCAUUCCUCUUCUAUUGCCAUUAUUCAUCCUUCGAAAAUCAUCUUUCAUUCCACAUAAGAUUUGUCUACUGUCUAUAGAUUAUUGUCAUAUAAAACAAGGAUAAUAAUGGACUUGAAGAUCUCAAAGAAAGCUUUUGAUAUGGAGGAUAAACUUAAUAAAAAUUGAAGACAAUCCUUGGACAUUGGCUGAGAAGAACCUCUCACUAUAUAUUAAUGUUGAAGAACUACGUGUUCGUGGUCAUUGUUAACAAGAGUCGAAAGCCGAUAGCAAUGCAACUGAUUAUUCAUGAUUAGUAAUAUUAUGUUUUAAGAUUUGGCCCAUUUGGAAGUCAAAAAUUGAUGUACUUAACCUAUUUUAGCUUAUUUCCAUUAGUUUUCUAUGGUUGUGGUUGUCUAGGAAUGAUUAUCCUUGUGGUUGGUAACAGUAUUAGUACUAGUUUGAUAUUUGUUGGUGUUGAACCUUUAAUAGUGGAUUAAUAUAUUUUUGAAAUGGUAAUGCCAAUUUUUUUUUA